rnacentral:rRNA from 1 species
GAUGAACGCUGGCGGCGUGCCUAAUACAUGCAAGUCGAGCGAACAGACGAGGAGCUUGCUCCUUCGACGUUAGCGGCGGACGGGUGAGUAACACGUAGGUAACCUACCUAUAAGACUGGGAUAACUUCGGGAAACCGGAGCUAAUACCGGAUAAUAUUUCGAACCGCAUGGUUCGAUAGUGAAAGAUGGCUUUGCUAUCACUUAUAGAUGGACCUGCGCCGUAUUAGCUAGUUGGUAAGGUAACGGCUUACCAAGGCAACGAUACGUAGCCGACCUGAGCGGGUGAUCGGCCACACUGGAACUGAGACACGGUCCAGACUCCUACGGGAGGCAGCAGUAGGGAAUCUUCCGCAAUGGGCGAAAGCCUGACGGAGCAACGCCGCGUGAGUGAUGAAGGUCUUCGGAUCGUAAAACUCUGUUAUUAGGGAAGAACAAACGUGUAAGUAACUGUGCACGUCUUGACGGUACCUAAUCAGAAAGCCACGGCUAACUACGUG